rnacentral:rRNA from 1 species
GUGGGGAAUUUUGGACAAUGGGCGCAAGCCUGAUCCAGCAAUGCCGCGUGCAGGAAGAAGGCCUUCGGGUUGUAAACUGCUUUUGUACGGAACGAAACGGUCCUGGUUAAUACCUGGGGCUAAUGACGGUACCGUAAGAAUAAGCACCGGCUAACUACGUGCCAGCAGCCGCGGUAAUACGUAGGGUGCAAGCGUUAAUCGGAAUUACUGGGCGUAAAGCGUGCGCAGGCGGUUUUGUAAGACAGGCGUGAAAUCCCCGGGCUCAACCUGGGAAUUGCGCUUGUGACUGCAAGGCUGGAGUGCGGCAGAGGGGGAUGGAAUUCCGCGUGUAGCAGUGAAAUGCGUAGAUAUGCGGAGGAACACCGAUGGCGAAGGCAAUCCCCUGGGCCUGCACUGACGCUCAUGCACGAAAGCGUGGGGAGCAAACAGGAUUAGAUACCCGAGUAGUCC